CAGCAGCCGCGGUAAUACGUAGGUCCCGAGCGUUAUCCGGAUUUAUUGGGCAUAAAGCGAGCGCAGGCGGUUAGAUAAGUCUGAAGUUAAAGGCUGUGGCUUAACCAUAGUACGCUUUGGAAACUGUUUAACUUGAGUGCAAGAGGGGAGAGUAGAAUUCCAUGUGUAGCGGUGAAAUGCGUAGAUAUAUGGAGGAACACCGGUGGCGAAAGCGGCUCUCUGGCUUGUAACUGACGCUGAGGCUCGAAAGCGUGGGGAGCAAACAGGAUUAGAUACCCCAGUAGUCCCUGUCUCUUAUACA
rnacentral:rRNA from 1 species